UGGGGAAUCUUGCACAAUGGGGGAAACCCUGAUGCAGCGACGCCGCGUGAGCGAUGAAGCCCUUCGGGGUGUAAAGCUCUUUCGUCAGGGAAGAUAGUGACGGUACCUGGAGAAGCAGCUGCGGCUAACUACGUGCCAGCAGCCGCGGUAAUACGUAGGCAGCAAGCGUUGUUCGGAGUUACUGGGCGUAAAGGGUGUGUAGGCGGUUCCUUAAGUUUGCUGUGAAAUCUCCCGGCUUAACCGGGAGGGUGCGGUGAAUACUGAGGGACUAGAGUACGGGAGAGGAAAGUGGAAUUCCUGGUGUAGCGGUGAAAUGCGUAGAUAUCAGGAGGAACACCGGUGGUGUAGACGGCUUUCUGGACCGUAACUGACGCUGAGACACGAAAGCGUGGGUAGCAAACA
rnacentral:rRNA from 2 species